rnacentral:rRNA from 1 species
AGUGAACGCUGGCGGUAGGCCUAACACAUGCAAGUCGAACGGCCGCACAGUAAGCGCUUGCUCUUACGGGUGGCGAGUGGCGGACGGGUGAGGAAUACAUCGGCAUCUACUUUUUCGUGGGUGAUAACGUAGGGCAACUUACGCUAAUACCGCAUACGACCUACGGGUGAAAGCAGGAGAUCUUCGGACCUUGCGCGAUUGAAUGAGCCGAUGUCGGAUUAGCUAGUUGGCGGGGUAAAGGCCCACCAAGGCGACGAUCCGUAGCUGGUCUGAGAGGAUGAUCAGCCACACUGGAACUGAGACACGGUCCAGACUCCUACGGGAGGCAGCAGUAGGGAAUAUUGGGCAAUGGGCGCAAGCCUGAUCCAGCCAUACCGCGUGGGUGAAGAAGGCCUUCGGAUCGUAAAGCCCUUUUGUUGGGAAAGAACAGCUGCAUGUUAAUCCCCCGCUGUUCUGACGGUACCCAAACAAUAAGCACCGGCUAACUUCGUG